AUUGAACGCUGGCGGCAUGCCUAACACAUGCAAGUCGAACGAGGGGCGGACGGGUGAGUAAUAUCUGGGAACGUGCCUAGUAGAGGGGGAUAACUACUGGAAAGGGUGUCUAAUACCGCAAACCAUCAGAUGUGCCCAUAGGGGAUUAGCUAGUUGGUGGGGUAACGGCUCACCAAGGCGACGAUCCCUAGCUGGUUUGAGAGGAUGACCAGCCACACUGGGACUGAGACACGGCCCAGACUCCUACGGGAGGCAGCAGUGGGGAAUAUUGGACAAUGGGCGAAACCCUGAUCCAGCCAUGCCGCGUGUAUGAAGAAGGCCUUCGGGUUGUAAAGUACUUUCAGCGGGGAAGCGGUACCUGCAGAAGAAGCACCGGCUAACUACGUGCCAGCAGCCGCGGUAAUUC
rnacentral:rRNA from 1 species